rnacentral:rRNA from 1 species
GAUGAACGCUGGCGGCGUGCCUAAUACAUGCAAGUCGAACGAACACAUAACUAGCUUUCUCGUUUGACGUUAGCGGCGGACGUGUUAGUAAGACGUGGAUACCCUCCCUAUAAGACUCGGAUAACUUCGUUAAAUCGGAGCUCAUACCGUCUAACAUAUUGAACCGCAUGGCUCAAUGGUGUAAGGCGACUUUGCUGUCGCUUAUAGAUGAGUCCGCGCCGGAUUAGCUAGUUGGUAAGGUAACGGCUUACCAAGUCGACGAUACGUAGCCGACCUGAGAGGGUGAUCAGCCACACUGGAACUGAGACACGGUCCAGACUCCUACGGGAGGCAGCAGUAGGGAAUCUUGCGCAAUGGGCGAAAGCCUGAAGGAGCAACGCCGCGUGAGUGAUGAAGGUCUUCGGGUCGUAAAACUCUGUUAUAAGGGAAGAAAAAACGUGUAAGUAAAUGGGCACGUCUUGACGGUACCGUAAGAGAAAGCCACGGCUAACUACGUG